rnacentral:lncRNA from 1 species
UAGGGUCUAGGUUUUCAUGCAUACUAGAUCAUGGAUCAAUCAACAAGAUAUAAAGCUACUAGCAUGCAAUAUAAGCAACAGCAUUCAUUUUCUAACCCUAUAUGCAACAUGAAUAAGAUGCAAUUAGAUCAAUAAUAAACUUAGACAUCAAACGUAGCCCCAUGGCUUCGGGAUGGUCACCACCCACCUUGUGGUAGUGCCGACAAGCUAAGAAACUUGGCGCCGCGGUCCACGUGCGCCGCUUCAACACCUUGGGUCAAAACGAACCCUAGAGCACCCAAAUCGGCGAUAUCUCCGCGCUCGCUCGACGGAUCGACGAACCGUCUUCGCCUACGCGUUCGGGAACAUAACAAUUAGGUUUCCGAC